GAGGUUAAGCGACUAAGCGUACACGGUGGAUGCCCUGGCAGUCAGAGGCGAUGAAGGACGUGCUAAUCUGCGAUAAGCGCCGGUAAGGUGAUAUGAACCGUUAUAACCGGCGAUUUCCGAAUGGGGAAACCCAGUGUGACUCGUCACACUAUCAUUAACUGAAUCCAUAGGUUAAUGAGGCGAACCGGGGGAACUGAAACAUCUAAGUACCCCGAGGAAAAGAAAUCAACCGAGAUUCCCCCAGUAGCGGCGAGCGAACGGGGAGGAGCCCAGAGCCUGAAUCAGCAUGUGUGUUAGUGGAAGCGUCUGGAAAGGCGCGCGAUACAGGGUGACAGCCCCGUACACAAAAGCGCAUGUGCUGUGAGCUCGAUGAGUAGGGCGGGACACGUGGUAUCCUGUCUGAAUAUGGGGGGACCAUCCUCCAAGGCUAAAUACUCCUGACUGACCGAUAGUGAACCAGUACCGUGAGGGAAAGGCGAAAAGAACCCCGGCGAGGGGAGUGAAAAAGAACCUGAAACCGUGUACGUACAAGCAGUGGGAGCACCCUUUGGGGUGUGACUGCGUACCUUUUGUAUAAUGGGUCAGCGACUUAUAUUCUGUAGCAAGGUUAACCGAAUAGGGGAGCCGGAGGGAAACCGAGUCUUAAUUGGGCGUUAAGUUGCAGGGUAUAGACCCGAAACCCGGUGAUCUAGCCAUGGGCAGGUUGAAGGUUGGGUAACACUAACUGGAGGACCGAACCGACUAAUGUUGAAAAAUUAGCGGAUGACCUGUGGCUGGGGGUGAAAGGCCAAUCAAACCGGGAGAUAGCUGGUUCUCCCCGAAAGCUAUUUAGGUAGCGCCUCG
rnacentral:rRNA from 1 species